GUCGAUUUCGAGAUCCAACCAACCCUGCUUAUCUUAUCUCUCAGGUUUUAAAACAGUCUUCGAUGAUAAAGAAGGCUACGCAGGAGGAGGCUGUGGCUGUGACAUCGGUCUUUUGGGACAUCAGUAUGUGUCUGGUUCUCCCUUGCUUUGAUCCUCGUCGGGUCCGUCCGUGUAUUAAACGGGUUUUGGAGAAUUCUCUUGUCCUCUCAACAUCACUGCCGUUGGCGUACUAAAAGACGUCCAGAAUGACAUCCUGAGAUGAGUCUAUUCCAGUGGAAUCGCUCUUACUAACGUCCCCUAAGGUUCUAUGGACAUUUUGGAUCUUAUUUAUAGAUUUACCGUGAGGAUCCCACCUCCAGCUAAUAUAAUGGUCAUAUCCGAUCCGGAACCUGGUCUUUUUGACUUCCUACAAAUGAUGGGAUACAACCUUCUGCAGCCGUUUCCAUAUAAUUCUUUUCAAAACUUUCUUCUGGCAGAUUCAAGGGCACUUGAGGAGUAGAAGUGCAGUGAAACGGGUGACUCUGCCUGAUGGGUUUGCUCACUAUGCUGCCGUGAUCUUGCUGUCCAACACGAAUAGGCUAUAAAAUUUCACCUCUCAUCUCUCAAGUAGAGCACAUAAACGGAAGGAAAAAAUUACUUACUAAUGAAAGCAUCGAGUCUAGCAAAAAAGCACCAGUAAAAACAGUAGGAAACAAAAAAUCCAGUGGCAACUCCGAGAAUAAAAAUAAACUUCAACUCCUCUUCAUCCUCUGUAUCCGCUUUAUUUGUGGUUGUAGCAGGCAGCUUUGUUGAAGCCUUGCAGGAAGUCAGCAGUAUGCCACCGCACAACAAGGGGUUUCCUUUAAAAUUUGCUUGUGGAAAAGUAUCAAACUGACUUCCUGUGGGUAUUGGCCCGUCGAGACUGUUGUUCACCACGUUGAAAUAAGACAUAUAAUGGAGGCUUGUUAGCGACCAAGGAAUUCUACCAGAUAAGUGAUUGUUGGACAGGUCAAGCCUCUCUAAGCUGGUGAGUUUCGACAACUCAUGUGGGAUGAUGCCAGACAAAUAGUUAUGAGAAAGCUCGAGGACAUGAAGAACCUUUAACUGGCCAACUUCGAUCGGUAUACUUCCUUUCAGGUUAUUCCUUCUUAUGUAGAUCCCAGGUGGGAGGCUAAACAGCUGAUUGUAUUGCUGAUGAGUUGUAACAUUAUUGGGACUGACAAAAACUGGCAGCUUUAGAUAGUUCCUUUCUGUUGCGUCGUAGGCCUUUUGGGACAUCAGAGCCUUUAGUUGGAAUAAAUCCUUCGGCAGCUCUCCUGAAAGAAGAUUUUCUGAGAGAUCAAUAUAGAAAAGGUGGGGAAAAGUUCCCAACCAACCAGGAAUUGACCCUACAAGCUGGUUGUGGGACAAAUCUAUGACUGCUAAGCUCUUCAAUUUGAUUAGCCAAGCUGGUAUUUCACCUCUCAGUCCAGAUCCACCGCUAGCAAAUAUUUGGAGAUUAGGGAAUCCAUCUGAGGAAAUCAAGUCUUUGUCGCUUGGAAAUGUUUCGUUGUAAAAAUUCUUUCCUAUGAGGAGAGUGGACAGAUUCCUGCAGCCCUGCAGAAUUCCAAGAGCGCCUGUAAUGUUCAUCAGUUUAUUGUCUGAAAGAGACAAGAUCGAUAGAGAUUCAAGUUCCAGUACGUGAGGAGAUAUCUGUCCUGUUAACUUAUUGCUUGCAAAUCUCAUCGCUGAUAGAGAUUUGCAGGAGUGAACCCUCCAAGGGAAAUCACCGCUGAAGCUAUUGUUUCCGAGAUCUAGAAUGCUAAGGCUCUGAAAGCGGGAAAAGUCAAGCUCUGAUAAGGUUCCUUCCAGCCGAUUAAGCCUCAGAUUCAACUUGACGAGAUUAGUACAAUUUGCAAGAGAAGGCGGGACUGUACCAGUGAUGUUAUUGAUAUGGAGUUGGAGGCUUUGCAGGCGAGAGAGCUGACCUAUGUCCAUUGGUAUUUCUCCUCCAAGGUGAUUGGAGUACAGCUCGAGCGAUUUUAGUUUUGUGAGGUGGGUGAUGUCAUCAUUGAUCUUUCCAGAAAGAUGAUUGACGGGUAGAAAGAGUUGCUCGAGCUCCGAAAGAUUGUAUAUGUCACUUGGGAUUUCACCAGAGAUAUUGUUGAAGCCUGCUUGUAGAACACUUAGCUUCAAACAUCUCCCUAGUCCUUGCGGAAUAUUACCGGUAAAAUCAUUGUAGGAGAAAUCCAGUUUGCUGAGCUGCGGUGAACUCUUGCACAUAAACGAAGGGAUUGAGCCUGUGAAGCUGUUCUUGCUGACAUUGAAACUGAUUAAAUCGAAAGUUCCUUGCAUAAAAAUAGAACUAGGGAGGAUUUCGCCUUGGAGAAAAUUGCUUGACAGAUCAACUAUCCGAAUUGGGAAACAUCUGUUGCUUCCAUUUCUAAAUGUUUGUUCAACUGGCAACUCACCAUCGAGGCUGUUGUAACUAAGAUCAAGAACUUUGAGCUGAUCAAGGGCUGAGAGAAAGCCAGAUGGGAGAUGACCGGAGAGACGGUUAUGAGAAAGAUUGAGUUGAGAGAGAUGGUGGAGACGCAGAACAGACAAAGGGAGUUUACCAUAUAGUGCUCUAAAGGGCAAUGAGAUUGCAGUGAUGUGGCUAUCCGGGGAAUCAUCGCAGGUUAUUCCUUCCCAUGAGCAACAAUCAAUGGAUGGGUUCCAAUUCAGAGGAGAAACAGAAGAAGAAACGUUUCCAGAGAACCACAGUAGGGAUUCUCGAUCUUGCGAGUUGCAGAGAGCCUCUGAAACUGCAAUAGAAAGGACACUGAUGAAAAGAACACACUGAAGGAGUAUGCCAAUCAUGUGAAAACUCAGAGCUUGUAUUGGUCUUGUGGUUGAUGAAGUUCUCACAAAACCUUUGGCUUUGAAUCUCCCCUCAUUAGUCAUGGUGAGAACAAGAACAAGACGAGAAACAGACAAAGAAGAUGAAAAAACUUGUUGGCCAGUGUUGACUAAGGGGGAAUAGCCCAGACAUAACAAAAUUAGACUUGUCGUACAUCUUUAAUAUUUUUUUUAUCUGUUUCUUUGUCCUGACGCUUUCAUUAUUCCUGUGAUCAAUUUUCUCAUACCAUUGGUCCAUCGUUAAUCCUUUCUCAAUUUCAUUUUCUACGUAACAUGAGAGGAGACCAAGUCCUAUGAGAACAGUUGACGUAACAGUGGUUGUUAAGUUAAGUUAAAAAGAGGAAGCUAGUGAGAGUGACCGUUAGGUAGAGAAGUGAGA
rnacentral:lncRNA from 1 species